GUUGUGAGGUUAAGCGACUAAGCGUACACGGUGGAUGCCCUGGCAGUCAGAGGCGAUGAAGGACGUGCUAAUCUGCGAAAAGCGCCGGCGAGGUGAUAUGAACCUUUGACCCGGCGAUGUCCGAAUGGGGAAACCCAGUGUGAUUCGUCACACUAUCGUUAACUGAAUACAUAGGUUAACGAGGCGAACCGGGGGAACUGAAACAUCUAAGUACCCCGAGGAAAAGAAAUCAACCGAGAUUCCCCCAGUAGCGGCGAGCGAACGGGGAGCAGCCCCAGAGUCUGAAUCAGCUUGUGUGUUAGUGGAAGCGUCUGGAAAGUCGCACGGUACAGGGUGACAGUCCCGUACACGAAAGCACACAGGUUGUGAACUCGAAGAGUAGGGCGGGACACGUGGUAUCCUGUCUGAAUAUGGGGGGACCAUCCUCCAAGGCUAAAUACUCCUGACUGACCGAUAGUGAACCAGUACCGUGAGGGAAAGGCGAAAAGAACCCCGGCGAGGGGAGUGAAAAUAGAACCUGAAACCGUGUACGUACAAGCAGUGGGAGCACCUUCGUGGUGUGACUGCGUACCUUUUGUAUAAUGGGUCAGCGACUUAUAUUCUGUAGCAAGGUUAACCGUAUAGGGGAGCCGAAGGGAAACCGAGUCUUAACUGGGCGUUAAGUUGCAGGGUAUAGACCCGAAACCCGGUGAUCUAGCCAUGGGCAGGUUGAAGGUUGGGUAACACUAACUGGAGGACCGAACCGACUAAUGUUGAAAAAUUAGCGGAUGACUUGUGGCUGGGGGUGAAAGGCCAAUCAAACCGGGAGAUAGCUGGUUCUCCCCGAAAGCUAUUUAGGUAGCGCCUCGUGAACUCAUCUUCGGGGGUAGAGCACUGUUUCGGCUAGGGGGCCAUCCCGGCUUACCAACCCGAUGCAAACUACGAAUACCGAAGAAUGUUAUCACGGGAGACACACGGCGGGUGCUAACGUCCGUCGUGAAGAGGGAAACAACCCAGACCGCCAGCUAAGGUCCCAAAGUCAUGGUUAAGUGGGAAACGAUGUGGGAAGGCACAGACAGCCAGGAUGUUGGCUUAGAAGCAGCCAUCAUUUAAAGAAAGCGUAAUAGCUCACUGGUCGAGUCGGCCUGCGCGGAAGAUGUAACGGGGCUAAACCAUGCACCGAAGCUGCGGCAGCGACACUAUGUGUUGUUGGGUAGGGGAGCGUUCUGUAAGCCGUUGAAGGUGGCCUGUGAGGGUUGCUGGAGGUAUCAGAAGUGCGAAUGCUGACAUAAGUAACGAUAAAGCGGGUGAAAAGCCCGCUCGCCGGAAGACCAAGGGUUCCUGUCCAACGUUAAUCGGGGCAGGGUGAGUCGACCCCUAAGGCGAGGCCGAAAGGCGUAGUCGAUGGGAAACAGGUUAAUAUUCCUGUACUUGGUGUUACUGCGAAGGGGGGACGGAGAAGGCUAUGUUAGCCGGGCGACGGUUGUCCCGGUUUAAGCAUGUAGGCGGAACGAUUAGGUAAAUCCGGUCGUUUAUUAACGCUGAGGUGUGAUGACGAGGCACUACGGUGCUGAAGUAACAAAUGCCCUGCUUCCAGGAAAAGCCUCUAAGCAUCAGGUAACAUCAAAUCGUACCCCAAACCGACACAGGUGGUCAGGUAGAGAAUACCAAGGCGCUUGAGAGAACUCGGGUGAAGGAACUAGGCAAAAUGGUGCCGUAACUUCGGGAGAAGGCACGCUGAUAUGUAGGUGAAGCCCCUGCGGGUGGAGCUGAAAUCAGUCGAAGAUACCAGCUGGCUGCAACUGUUUAUUAAAAACACAGCACUGUGCAAACACGAAAGUGGACGUAUACGGUGUGACGCCUGCCCGGUGCCGGAAGGUUAAUUGAUGGGGUUAGCGGCAACGCGAAGCUCUUGAUCGAAGCCCCGGUAAACGGCGGCCGUAACUAUAACGGUCCUAAGGUAGCGAAAUUCCUUGUCGGGUAAGUUCCGACCUGCACGAAUGGCGUAAUGAUGGCCAGGCUGUCUCCACCCGAGACUCAGUGAAAUUGAACUCGCUGUGAAGAUGCAGUGUACCCGCGGCAAGACGGAAAGACCCCGUGAACCUUUACUAUAGCUUGACACUGAACACUGGUCCUUGAUGUGUAGGAUAGGUGGGAGGCUUUGAAGUGUGGACGCCAGUCUGCAUGGAGCCGUCCUUGAAAUACCACCCUUUAAUGGCUGGUGUUCUAACGUAGACCCGUGAUCCGGGUUGCGGACAGUGUCUGGUGGGUAGUUUGACUGGGGCGGUCUCCUCCCAAAGAGUAACGGAGGAGCACGAAGGUUAGCUAAUCCUGGUCGGACAUCAGGAGGUUAGUGCAAUGGCAUAAGCUAGCUUGACUGCGAGAGUGACGGCUCGAGCAGGUGCGAAAGCAGGUCAUAGUGAUCCGGUGGUUCUGAAUGGAAGGGCCAUCGCUCAACGGAUAAAAGGUACUCCGGGGAUAACAGGCUGAUACCGCCCAAGAGUUCAUAUCGACGGCGGUGUUUGGCACCUCGAUGUCGGCUCAUCACAUCCUGGGGCUGAAGUAGGUCCCAAGGGUAUGGCUGUUCGCCAUUUAAAGUGGUACGCGAGCUGGGUUUAGAACGUCGUGAGACAGUUCGGUCCCUAUCUGCCGUGGGCGCUGGAGAAUUGAGGGGGGCUGCUCCUAGUACGAGAGGACCGGAGUGGACGCAUCACUGGUGUUCGGGUUGUCAUGCCAAUGGCACUGCCCGGUAGCUAAAUGCGGAAAAGAUAAGUGCUGAAAGCAUCUAAGCACGAAACUUGCCCCGAGAUGAGUUCUCCCUGAGACUUUAAGUCUCCUGAAGGAACGUUGAAGACGACGACGUUGAUAGGUCGGGUGUGUAAGCGCAGCGAUGCGUUGAGCUAACCGAUACUAAUGAACCGUGAGGCUUAACCUUACAACGCCGAAG
rnacentral:rRNA from 2 species